GACGAACGCUGGCGGCGUGCUUAACACAUGCAAGUCGAACGAAGAGCGAUGGAAGCUUGCUUCUAUCAAUCUUAGUGGCGAACGGGUGAGUAACGCGUAAUCAACCUGCCCUUCAGAGGGGGACAACAGUUGGAAACGACUGCUAAUACCGCAUACGAUUUAAUCUCGGCAUCGAGGAUAGAUGAAAGGUGGCCUCUACAUGUAAGCUAUCACUGAAGGAGGGGAUUGCGUCUGAUUAGCUAGUUGGAGGGGUAACGGCCCACCAAGGCGAUGAUCAGUAGCCGGUCUGAGAGGAUGAACGGCCACAUUGGGACUGAGACACGGCCCAGACUCCUACGGGAGGCAGCAGUGGGGAAUCUUCCGCAAUGGACGAAAGUCUGACGGAGCAACGCCGCGUGAGUGAUGACGGCCUUCGGGUUGUAAAGCUCUGUUAAUCGGGACGAAAGGCCUUCUUGCGAAUAGUGAGAAGGAUUGACG
rnacentral:rRNA from 1 species